AUGGUUGGGGCUCAAAUGCUGCUGAUUCAGCUGGUCAGUGGACAAAAGAGCCCAAUUAAACCACCAAGCUGCAGCAAACGCGCUCAGGAAGGGCCUCAGCACAGGCCUGGAGCACUGAAGAACGUCUCCUCAAUGCGGGCUUUGGGAACAGCCUUCAGGCAGACAGUGAGGCCCCGCACAGCCUCUGCUCCUGGAAAAGCCCUGAAGGCCUGUGCGAUGUGCCCUUGGGAUGAUACUGGGGUCUCCCAAGGCUCCACCCUAGCCCCCGUCUCCUCCUGUUGCGAUCCUAGAGCACAUUGCUUGCAUGUUGCUGAACAGAUGCCCAUCCUGAUCUGGGAUUCAGUAGUGGUCUCCACCACCACCCUUCCCACCAAGCUACUCUGCCACUUCCCUCAAGGGGAGAGACGGGUAGGGGAACUUCGUCUACAGACUGCCUGUCACUUGCCGGGCACCGUGCUGGUUGCUAUAUGA
rnacentral:lncRNA from 1 species